AAAAAUGCAUUAUCUGUAUUUUAUAACUUUUGUCAAUCCAGGCACACUUUCAGGGAAGCACACCCAUAACGCACACUCUUAAAGUAAAUCCGUUUUAUAUCAACCAAUAACAAAACAUACCACAUUUCAAAUACUAAAUCAACAACCACAUGCACAAAUAUUACCUUAAGUUAGGAUAGAGCAAAGCAGUCCACAGCUUUUAAGAAAGCCCAAACUUGUUACCUUUAAGUUUACAGACAUGUAUAGAUAUAAGACCUGGGUAAACAUUAAAAUCGUACAACUGUACAAUCGUGGUUCGAUUUUAUAUUUGUAUAACUUGA
rnacentral:lncRNA from 1 species